rnacentral:misc_RNA from 1 species
GAAAUGCGAUAAGUAGUGUGAAUUGCAGAAUUCAGUGAAUCAUCGAAUCUUUGAACGCAUAUUGCGCCCCUCGGUAUCCCGGGGGGCAUGCCUGUUCGAGCGUCAUUUCAACCACUCAAGCCUAGCUUGGUAUUGGGCAUCGUUGUACUUUUCUUCUCUGUUAGAGAAGACAACGUGCCUUAAAUAUAGACAGCGGCAAGUAUAAGUUCCGAGCGUAGCAGUAAAACAUUUCGCUUUAGGUAUUUUGUACAUUGUCAGCUAGUAAUACUAUCAUUUUGACCUCGGAUCAGGCAGGGAUACCCGCUGAACUUAA